UGCUGCAGAAAGACUUUGACCUGAUUCCUGUCCAGCCCCUACACCCACCCAUUCACCCCAGCAGCUGCUGAUGGGUCUUUUAAUAAAGGGGAAAGAUGGUGGAGUCACAGAAUUGGAGGGCUUGAUAACCUAGUUCAAUUAAUGUCGGUUGGUUUGGACUGCUUCAUUUGGUGGAGCUUACACACACAAACGCAUAAACACAGUCCAGGUGGGACAUGGUGUAUGGGUUGGAUUAUAAAUGAGCUGCCAUUGGUGUGUUACUGUAUGGUGCAGAAAUUGCUGUGAUUAUUGAGUCAUGGUUAAGCUCUGUAGUAUGAAGCAAGUGCUUCAUGCUUCAUUUCUA